rnacentral:lncRNA from 1 species
GCAAUAAGAGGAAAUCAGAAUACACACCUGGCCCAUUUAAGCCACAGACCGUUACUUCCAGAACGCUAUGUAUCAUCACAUAGAGUAGAGAAGAAAAGCUGUAGACUGGCCUGCCUCAACACUGUUAUGUAUUCAUUGUUGCAAUUAUGCUACAGCUUUGGCUCUGGGGUAAAGAGCAGUGAAAAGGAUCAAGUUCAACGACAUUCCUGCAUUUUUCAAACUAGUGUCAUAGACUCAUGGGAUCACCGUGGACUAGUAUUUUUACUCCAUGCCUUUCUCCCACUUAGAAAGAAAUGUGCUGAGUGCCUGUUGUGGGCCAGGCAUCUGCAAGACACAGGAGAUACGCAGUGAAUAAGCAAGUCAUUUCUUAAUCACGAUUAUGGUGAGUGUGGAUCGUGAGUGGUGACUGUAUUCUGCAGAGAGUAGAGUAAAGGGAGCUUUUGCCUGAAACAUCUGCUCAACGAAAGGGGAUUCGGGUCACCUGGGUGGCUCAGGGGUUGAGCGUCUGCUAUGGCCCAGGGCGUGAUCCUGGGGUCCCAGGAUCGAGUCCUGUAUCGGGCUCCCUGCAGGGAGCCUGCUUCUCCCUCUGCCUGUGUCUCUGCCUCUCUCUCUGUGUCUCUCAUGAAUAAAUAAAUAAAAUCUUAAAAAAACACACACACAAGAGGGGAUUGUUGCUAGGAAGAAGAACCUAGAAAAGUGAACAGCAAGGAAGGUGAAUGGAGGGAGUAGGUGCUGGUAGACAGAGUAACACAGAAGGAGUGAGCUUGGCGAUGACCCAGAGUGGCAAGGCCGCCUCCAGCUCUCCCAUGAUACUUAACACCCAGACGUAGCCGUCACUACAGCAGCAUCCUGCAAGAGGGGAUUCAAUCUUGCAAGCCAAUGACAUCCCAUCC